CGGUAAUACGGAGGGUGCAAGCGUUAAUCGGAAUUACUGGGCGUAAAGCGCACGCAGGCGGUCUGUCAAGUCGGAUGUGAAAUCCCCGGGCUCAACCUGGGAACUGCAUUCGAAACUGGCAGGCUUGAGUCUUGUAGAGGGGGGUAGAAUUCCAGGUGUAGCGGUGAAAUGCGUAGAGAUCUGGAGGAAUACCGGUGGCGAAGGCGGCCCCCUGGACAAAGACUGACGCUCAGGUGCGAAAGCGUGGGGAGCAAACAGGAUUAGAUACCCUGGUAGUCCACGCCGUAAACGAUGUCUACUUGGAGGUUGUGCCCUUGAGGCGUGGCUUCCGGAGCUAACGCGUUAAGUAGACCGCCUGGGGAGUACGGCCGCAAGGUUAAAACUCAAAUGAAUUGACGGGGGCCCGCACAAGCGGUGGAGCAUGUGGUUUAAUUCGAUGCAACGCGAAGAACC
rnacentral:rRNA from 1 species